rnacentral:rRNA from 1 species
CCUACGGGAGGCAGCAGUGGGGAAUAUUGGGCAAUGGACGAAAGUCUGACCCAGCAACGCCGCGUGAAGGAAGAAGGCUUUCGGGUUGUAAACUUCUUUUAAGAUGGAAGUGCAGAACACUGUAUCCCUUGAAUAAGCCAUGGCUAAGUAAGUGCCAGCAGCCGCGGUAGUACGUAGGGGGCAAGCGUUAUGCGGAUUUACUGGGUGUAAAGGGCGUGCAGCCGGAGGAACAAGUCAGAUGUGAAAUCCACGGGCUCAACCCGUGAACUGCAUUUGAAACUGUUUGCCUUGAGUGUCGGAGAGGUAGGCGGAAUUCGUGGUGUAGCGGUGAAAUGCGUAGAUAUAAGGAAGAACACCAGUUGCGAAGGCGGAUUACUGGACGAUAACUGACGGUGAUGCGCGAAAGCGUGGGGAGCAAACAGGAUUAGAUACCCGAGUAGUC